CUCACUCUCCCUCUUCUCUGUCUUUCCAUUUCCGCCUCUUCUUCUUUCCUUGCUCCUAUUUCUAUUCCGGUGUUCUUUGUUGUUCUUAACAGUAACUUCCGCCUCCUCCGCGCGUGAUAAACAUACUUCACGUCUUCGCUUCUUCUUCGUUUGUGAACAACUAUCAAAGGUGUACUACCCAAUUGGAAGGAUGUGCUCGAAAAGAGCUCGGCGGAGAGCCUGAACCUGCUUCAAAACGGUCUCCUAGAUGUGUGCAUGCUAGAUCUGGACUAUUGGUUCCCUGACUCAGUUUUUGCUGGUGGAUGUGACCCUUUUUGCUUGCUGUCAUAGAAUAGACAAAUGUUUAUGUUGCAGCACAGUGCAUUUAUUUUUCAGGUGCCACAAGCUUCACGUAGCAUGGUUUCACCAUUUCUAAGCUCUCCCAUUCAUUUCCCUUUUCAUCCCAAUCAAAGGGCAAAAACCAGAGAUUUUCUAACCUCAUUUGAAGAAACCAAUGAUGGUGAUGGAGUUGUUCGUCCUAGAGGUGAUGAAAAGAAUUAUGACAAAGAUCCCGAGCUUGCAGAAAUUCUCGGGAACUGUCUCGAUGAUCCGGAUAAAGCUAAGUCAAGGUUGGAGGAGAGAUUGAGAAAGAAAAGGAAUAAAAUAGUGCAUACAAAGAUAGGAUCACCAACACCUAUGAGAGUGGAAUUUAACAAAUUUGAUUUUACAAACACCUACAUAUGGCUUGAGUUCUACAAUGCCCCAUUGGAGAAGGAUAUUUCCUUGAUUUGUGACACAAUUCGGUCUUGGCACAUUGUUGGACGUCUUGGUGGAUGUAAUUCGAUGAAUAUGCAAUUGUCCCAAUCUCUUUUGGACAAAAGACCAAAUUAUGAUGCUGUUCAGGGGGCAAAUGUAACACCUACUACAUUCUACAAUAUUGGAGAUGUUGAGAUUCAAGAUAACUUGGCUCGUAUAUGGGUGGACAUUGGGACAAGUGAGCCUUUACUGUUGGAUGUAUUGAUUAAUGCUUUGUCACAGAUAAGCUCCGACUAUGUUGGUAUCAAACAAGUGGUAUUUGGAGGAUCUGAAUUUGAGAACUGGAAGGAGAACUUGACAUCAGAGGAUGCCGGUUAUAGUGUUCACAAGAUAUAGAUGACUUUUUGAAGAAGGCUUCUGGUUAGAAGAUGAAACAGUCAUUGAAGAUGGAAAGAAUUGUGUAGAGUGAGGAAGACCACCGUACUUCGGAUUCCAUACAAGGUAAUGAGUUCCUCCAAGUGGUAUGAGACAACCACUUGGCAAAAGGGUUUCCAUUUCUAGGGUGAGUUGUGCCUUGCAAGAAACUCUCCUUUCACCAUUUUUUAUUAGUUUUAUCAUAUGAUGCAGCAAAUAAGGAUCUUAAUUUCCCAGGAGGCAUGCAUUGGUCAUCUACGAGAUUCAAUUCUAAAACUACUUGAUGA